GGGUACUGGGCCUCAGGUCAGGCCUAUGGCCAUGGCCUUCACAGACCUGCUGGAUGCUCUGGGCAGCAUGGGCCGCUUCCAGCUCAACCACACAGCCCUGCUGCUGCUGCCCUGCGGCCUGCUGGCCUGCCACAACUUCCUGCAGAACUUCACGGCCGCUGUCCCCCCCCACCACUGCCGGGGCCCUGCCAACCACACUGAGGCCUCCACCAACGACUCGGGGGCCUGGCUGAGGGCCACCAUACCCCUGGACCAGCUUGGGGCCCCUGAGCCCUGCCGGCGCUUCACCAAGCCUCAGUGGGCCCUGCUGAGCCCCAACUCCUCCAUCCCGGGCGCGGCCACGGAGGGCUGCAAGGACGGCUGGGUCUAUAACCGCAGUGUUUUCCCGUCCACCAUCGUGAUGGAGUGGGAUCUGGUGUGUGAGGCCCGCACUCUCCGAGACCUGGCGCAGUCCGUCUACAUGGCCGGGGUGCUGGUGGGGGCUGCCGUGUUUGGCAGCUUGGCAGACAGGCUGGGCUGCAAGGGCCCCCUGGUCUGGUCCUACCUGCAGCUGGCAGCUUCGGGGGCCGCCACAGCGUAUUUCAGCUCCUUCAGUGCCUAUUGCGUCUUCCGGUUCCUGAUGGGCAUGACCUUCUCUGGCAUCAUCCUCAACUCCGUCUCCCUGGUGGCUUCCAGAGUCAUCCCGCUGGCUCCUCCUGCAUGGCAAGUCCCAGUUAGCUGUACAGAAUCUGCAGAAGGUGGCUGCAAUGAACGGGAGGAAGGAGGAAGGGGAAAGGCUGACCAAGGAGGUGAUGAGCUCCUACAUCCAAAGCGAGUUUGCAAGUGUCUGCACCUCCAACUCAAUCUUGGACCUCUUCCGAACCCCGGCCAUCCGCAAGGUCACAUGCUGUCUCAUGGUGAUUUGCGUGGCAGGCAGCGCAGUUCCGGCUCUGGGGAGCAAGGGGGCUCCUGCGAACCCGAGUCCAGGAAUGGGCGUCUUCCUGCGGUAGCCCCUGCCGGCCUGGGCUUGCCCUUCGUCCACCUUCCUCUUUCCGCGAGGGAGAAACAGAUCCUGAGUUCAAAAUUCCAGAGCUGAAAGUCCUCUCUUGGAUCCUUCUGGAAACAGCAAAAGCCCGUUUUUGCUGAGAAAGUGACUCGGCAGCUAUCCGGAGCUCUCUGCCUGCAGGUGGGGCCAUUCUCCUAUGGAGCCGACCCGACCCGCUCAAAGCUGCCCCGGGAACCGCAGGUUUGGUUCGCGCACGCCGGGACUUGCCAACCGCACCCGAAAAAUCGGGGCCAUGUCCAAAUGUUUCGCUUCGCUGCCGGCAGGGAGCCGCGCCGGGCUCGCUCCUGGGAUCAACUGCACAGUCCUGGCUUUGGGGAGCGGGAGGCGGUGAGCCUGCCCGCCCCCCGACCCCUUCCUCACCAGUGUGUCUGGGG
ensembl:lncRNA novel transcript